GGCCGACUAGCUCAGUUGGUUAGAGCGUCGUGCUAAUACUAAUCUGUUAACGCGAAGGUCUUGGGUUCGAUCCCCACGUUGGCCA
rnacentral:tRNA from 1 species